UACGGAGGGUGCAAGCGUUAUCCGGAUUCACUGGGUUUAAAGGGUGCGUAGGCGGACAGGUAAGUCAGUGGUGAAAUCUCUGGGCUUAACUCAGAAACUGCCGUUGAUACUAUUUGUCUUGAAUAUCUUGGAGGUAAGCGGAAUAUGUCAUGUAGCGGUGAAAUGCUUAGAUAUGACAUAGAACACCGAUAGCGAAGGCAGCUUACUACAGGAAGAUUGACGCUGAGGCACGAAAGCGUGGGGAGCCAAACAGG
rnacentral:rRNA from 1 species